UUAGAAAGCCAAUGAGUUAUAGCUCAAAUGGCAUAGUCUCCCCAUACUCAAUUAAGAGAUUCUAAGUUCGAGUCUUCUAUCUCUGAUAAAAAAAAAAAAUUAGAAAAUCGUGGACAAUAUCUUCUCUUCGUAGCCAUGGGUUUCAUUCAUAUAACCACUUUCUAGUCAGAGCUAGGAUUUUUGAACCCCAAUACGGCAAUACAUUCACUAGCCAGCAUACACAAAUGGCAACCAGUUUGAAGAUGUUCCUUUCUCAAUCAUGAAAAUUUUUGUUCCCUAAUAAAUAAAAAAGGGUUUUUGGGCAGAAAAUUAAAAAAAAAUUUGGAUCAUGGUAUGGGCCGGAAAACCGGACCCACACCUAGAAUAAGAGAACCGGGUAUAACCCAAAUCACAAACAACCCAGCGAAACAUCUACCGCAUUCACAAACCUUAUAACUCUCCAACGGUUAUGCAUUUGUUGAGCACACCGCAGAGGAGACUGCAAGCACAGGGACAGCAUUGAAAGAGAUGAAUGACAAGGUAGCUUCAUCUCUUUUUUCUUGCUAUUGAAAAAUGAACUUUUGCCUCAUAUUUGUUUUUUCCCUUUUGAACUUAUUAUUAAUGGGUGGAUGAUACUGGUGGAUGUUGCCAAGACACAACAGAGUCCUUCAAGUACGAACCCACUAUUUCCUGCUCUGCAGUGUGAUCUUAUUUGGCUCAACCUUUUGAUGUAAGUCAAGUUACAGGCUAAAGAGGACUACAGUACCUUAUGCUGUAAAUUCACAGUUUAGCUCUUCUACAUUACAAGGAUGCAAGUGCACCAAGAACCUGCAGUUUGUAGCCUUAUAAACCUGAAGUGUGCAUUUUAGAAAGCUAACUCGCUGUUGCUGUUGCUGUUGCUUCUGCUGCAUAAACAGAAAAAAACAUUCAAAUCCUGCUGCCCCUCUUGCUAAUCCCUCAUUACCUCCUCAAUCUAGUGGAUAUUCUAGGCGUAAAAAUCGAUUAUAGAUAUGGAAGUAUAGAGAAGUAUGCGAGACGUAAAAAUUACAAUGGUCAAAUAAAAUAUGCGGGGAGAACACGUGCUAUGCAUCAACAUUGGAAGCGAUGCUUUGACUUGGACAAUGAGCAGAGCAAGAGAAAAAAGACAAAAGGGAGAACAAGUGGUCCUAUAUCCUCACCGAGUGUUACCAAGUUUGACCGAGCAUUAUUUUGAAGUAUCCUCAUUGAGAUGUUUGUGAUCGAAGAGCUAGUUUUUCGAUUUGUAGAAAGAAAUGUGUUUCGAAGGCUCUUGAUAGCUUGCAACCCAAGUUUAAAAUCCCUUUCCUGUACUAUAUUGGCCCGUGAUAUAUUUUCUCUUUAUGAUAUAGAGCAAGUGAAGUUACAAAAUUAUCUCUCUCAACAUGGAAAAGUGUGUCUUACAACUGACACUUGGACGUCGAGUUGAAAUUUGACUUAUAUGUCUCUAACGGCACACUUUAUUGACAAUGAUUGGAAGUUGCAAAAGAGGAUAUUGAUUUUUUGUCGGGUGAGAGUCAUCCAGGAGAAAUACUUGGUAGAGCUAUUGAAGGUUGUUUGGAUGUUUGAAAAUUGCAUCAAGUUUUUACUGUAAUGGUUAACAAUGCAACUUCUAAUGAUGUUGCAAUUUUAUACUUGAAAAAGAGAUUAAAUGCAUGAAAUAGUCUAAUUUUGAAGGGGGACUAUCUUCAUUGCAUUGUUGUGCCUAUAUCUUAAAUUUGACAGUGAAAGAUGACUUGAAAGAUAUUGAUGAUUCGAUUAAAAGAAUUCGCAAUGCAGUGAAAUAUGUCAAGUCAUCUUCUAUGAGAAGUGAAAGUUUCAAAGCGUGCAUUGAGCGGGAGGGCAUCAACUAUAAAGAGCUUGUUUGUUUGGAUAUCAAAACUCGAUGGAAUUUGACAUAUUCAAUGUUGGAGGCAGCAUUGAAGCUUCGAACGACGUUUGAUUUGUUAGAGUUGCAAGAUGAUAAAUAUAAGAAUGAGAUGAACAAAUCUUAUGGUGUGCCUACAGAUAAUGAUUGGACUUAUGCAGAGUCAAUUUUACCAUUCUUAAAAAUAUUCUAUGAUGCUAAAUUGCGUACUUUUGGGAGUUUGUAUGUUACUAGUAAUAAAUACAUGAAAGAAGUCUUUUAACAUUGGAAGAAAAAUCAAGCUGCAUUGUGAAAAUAGUGAUUUGAGCAUAAGAUCAAUGAGGUCCAAGGUGUAAAGGAAAUAUGAUAAGUACUAGAAAAUUCCAAAUGGCAUUAACAUGUUAAUUGCAAUUAUGCUUGAUCCAUGUCACAAGUUGAAUUUUGUAAAUUGAAUUUUUGAUGAGUCAUUUGGUGUAGAAAAGGGAGGAAAACUCAAGUCAAAAUUAUUUACUUGCUUGAAUUCCCUUUAUAAAUCACUACCAAGGCAAAGAGAAUGAGUUUUAAAGUAAUCAAGAUGCAAUGAUCAAUGGAGAGGAAGAAGAUGAUAUCCUAAAUAUUUAUUUGCAAUCAACUGCAUCAGAUGCUAAAUUUAAACUUGAUAGAUAUCUAAAAGAAGAUUGUAAGCCUAGAAACAAGUUGGCAAAGUUGGAUAUUUUAGAUUGGUGGAAAGGAAAUUCAACCCAAUUUCCUAUGCUUGCACGUAUGGCUCGAGAAGUUCUAGCCAUACCAGUUAUACGGUUGCUUUUGAAAGUGCGUUUAGUACAGAAUGAAGGAUUAUUGAUCCUUAUCGGAGCUCUUUGACACUACAUAUAGUGGAAGUUUUUGUAUGAACUCAUGAUUGGGUAAUAGAUGAGCCUCUUAGACUAAUUAAAAAUUUUAAAGAGAUUGAAAAAGCUAAACAUGGUAAUGUACUUUUUUUUAUUGCUUGUUUGUUACUAAUGGUUAGUUUUCUAUAAUUAAUGAGAUUUUUUUUAUGUAGGGAGAAUUCUACAACAAAUGUUGGCACACAUAUUUCUUUAGAAGAUGGUUAAAAUAUUGUAA